CGCCGCCGCCGUAGCCACCGCCGCCGCCGCCGCGGGACUGGGCCUGGUUGACGGUGAUGUUGCGGCCGUCGAGCUCCUUGCCGUUCAUGUUCUCGAUGGCUUCGAGCAUCGACUGCUCAGUGGAGAAGGUGACGAAGCCGAACCCGCGGGACCUCCCAGUCUCCCGGUCGGUGAUGACCUGCAAGCACAAGGAACAACAGCACCAUCAGCGUGGGUGUUUGAUUCGAUUCAGAGAAACGCAGAUCUAAACCGAAACAUAGCAGAUCUGGUGACACACGACGCAGAUCUGGACUGGCGUCAACAGAAACCCAUCGCAAAACCCAAGCGAAUCGAACGGAACUCAGAGCAAACGGACCUUGGAGUCGACAACGUCGCCGUAGGAGGCGAAGGCAAGCUGGAGGGACUCGCUGUCGGUGGCCCAUGCGAGGCCGCCGACGAAGCAACGGUACUCCACGUCCGCCGCCGCCAUCUCCCUUCUUCUCCCACUGAAAAACCCUAAAGCCGAAGACUUGGUAAGAGGGGGAGGAGUAGCCAACCCACCUCUGAG
rnacentral:lncRNA from 1 species